rnacentral:rRNA from 1 species
UACGUAGGGUGCAAGCGUUGUCCGGAAUUAUUGGGCGUAAAGAGCUCGUAGGCGGUUUGUCGCGUCUGCUGUGAAAACGCGAGGCUCAACCUCGCGCCUGCAGUGGGUACGGGCAGACUAGAGUGUGGUAGGGGAGAUUGGAAUUCCUGGUGUAGCGGUGGAAUGCGCAGAUAUCAGGAGGAACACCAGUGGCGAAAGCGACUUUCUGGUCCUUAACUGACGCUGAGGCGCGAAAGCAUGGGGAGCGAACGGG